rnacentral:rRNA from 1 species
GACGGAGGAUGCAAGUGUUAUCCGGAAUCACUGGGCUUAAAGCGUGUGUAGGCGGACUUCUAAGUGCCUUGUGAAAUCCCACGGCUCAACCGUGGAACUGCUGGGCAUACUGGGAGUCUUGGGCCAUUCAGGGGCAACUGGAACAAGCGGUGGAGCGGUGAAAUGCGUAGAUAUCGCUUGGAACGCCGAAGGUGAAAACAGGUUGCUGGGGAUGUGCCGACGCUGAGACACGAAAGCCAGGGGAGCAAACGGG